rnacentral:lncRNA from 1 species
AAAACCAAUAAAAAUUCAUAUGAAUGGAUUUCUUAACCCAAAACCCAAAGACCCAAAACCCAAAGUUCACAAAUAAAAUUCCAAAAAUUUCAAAGUCCACAAAUAAAAUCCUAAAAAUCCAAAAGUCCACAAAUAAAAUCCCAAAAAUCCCAAAGUCCACAAAUAAAAUCACAAAGAUCCCAAAGUCCACAAAUAAAAUCCCAAAAAUGCCAAAGCCCACAAAUAAAAAUCCAAAACCCAAAGUCCACAAAUAAAAUCCUAAACCCAAAGUUCACAAAUAAACUCCCAAAAAAUCCAAGGUCCACAAAUAAAGAUCCAAAACCCAAAGAUCCAAAAUUCAAAGUCCAUAAAUAAAACCCAAUCAAAUCUACCAAGCCUAUGUCAUCAAAAUACCUCCAACCCAAACUGAAUUCAUGGGCUUUCUAAAUGAGCCCUUUAUUAUGAAUUAAUCCUAUGAAUUAAUUUCCUGGAUUUUCCAAAUGACCACUUAUCAUAAAUUAAUUCUACGAAUUAAUUUCAUGGGUUUGCAAAAAUAGGCCCCCUUAUCAUAAAUUAAUUCUAUGAAUUAAUUUCAUGGGCCCUUCUUAUCAUAAAUUAAUUUCAUGAACUAACGGGCCUUCCAAAUGACUCCUUGUCAAAAAUUAAUUUUAUAAACCCAAUUCAAUGGACUUUCCAAAUGGUCCCUAUCAUGAACUAAUUUCAUCAAUUAAUUCAAUAGACUUUACAAACAGGCUCCCAGCAUGAAUUAAUUUCAUGAAUCAGCUUCAUGAACAUCUCAAUUUCAAACCCAAAUUCAAAUGACUGAAAUGUCGCUAAACUAAACCCAUAUUCAAACGACCGAAACGUCGUAAAACUAAACCCAAAUUCAAACGUCCGAAACGUCGCUAAACUAAAUCCAAACCAAACGACCGAAACGUCGUUAAACUAAACCAAAUGACCGAAACGUCGGUAAACUAAACCAAACGACCGGAACAUUGUUAAACUAAACCCAACGACCGGAACGUCGUUAAACUAAACCCAAUGACCGGAACGUCGUUAAACUAAACCCAGCGACCGAAAUGUCGUUAAAUUAAACCCAACGACUGGAACGUCGGUAAACUAAACCCAACGACCGGAACGUCGGUAAACUAAACCCAACGACCGAAACGUCGUUAAACUAAACCCAACGACCGAAACGUCGUUAAACUAAACCCAACGACCGAAACGUCGUUAAACUAAACCGAACGACCGAAACGUCGUUAAACUAAACCGAACGACCAGAACGUCGUUAAACUAAACCGAACGACCGGAACGUCGUUAAACUAAUCCAAACGACCGAAAUGUCGUUAAACUAAACCCAUAUUCAGACGGCCGAAAUGUCGUUAAACUAAAUCCAAUUCCAAACGAUCGAAACGUCGUUAAACUAAUCCCAAAUCCAAACGACCGAAACGUUGUUAAAUUAAACCCAAAUCCAAAUGACCGAACGUCGUUAAACUAAACCCAAACUCAAACGACCGAAACGUCGUUAAACUAAACCCAAAUUCAAACGACCGAAACGUCGUUAAACUAAACCCAACGACCGAAACGUCGUUAAACUAAACCCAAAUCUAAACGACCAAAAAGUCACUAAACUAAACCCAAAUUCAAACGACCGAAACGUCGUUAAACUAAACCCAACGACCGAAACGUCGUUAAACUAAACCAAACGACCGAAACGUCAUUAAACUAAACCCAACGACCGAAACGUCAUUAAACUAAACCCAACGACCGAAACAUCGGUAAACUAAACCCAACGACCGAAACAUCGUUAAACUAAACCCAAUGCCCGAAACGUCGUUAAACUAAACCCAAAUCCAAACGACCGAAACGUCGCUAAACUAAACCCAUAUUCAGACGACCGAAAAGUCGCUAAACUAAACCCGAAUCCAAACGACCGAAAUGUCGCUAAACUAAACCCAUAUUCAAACGACCGAAAAGUCGCUAAACUAAACCCGAAUCCAAACGACCGAAAUGUCGCUAAACUAAACCCAUAUUCAAACGACCGAAACGUCGUUAAACUAAACCCAAAUUCAAACGACUGAAACGUCGCUAAACUAAACCCAAACCAAACGACUGAAAUGUCGUUAAAAUAAACCCAACGGCCGAAACGUCGGAAAACUAAACCCAACGACCGAAACGUCGUUAAACUAACCCAACGGUCGAAACGUUGUUAAACUAAACCCAACGACUGAAAUGUCGGUAAACUAAACCCAACGACCGAAAUGUCGUUAAACUAAACCAAAUGACCGAAACGUAGGUAAACUAAACCCAACGACCGAAACGUCGUUAAACUAAACCCAACGACCGAAACGUCGGUAAACUAAACCCAACGACCGAAACGUCGUUAAACUAAACCCAACGACCGAAACGUCGGUAAACUAAACCCAACGACCGAAACGUCGUUAAACUAAACCUAAACCUAACGACUGAAACGUCGCUAAGCUAAACCCAAAUUCAAACGACUGAAAAGUCGUUAAACUAAACCCAAAACUUCAAUCGACUACCAAGUUGCUAAAUUGAGUACCUAGUCUUAUAAAAUUUAUGUACAGUGGGGGAAUGCCCCUGCUUAAGCCAUGUACACGGCAGAUCAUAUUAAUGAAAUUUUAUUUGC